rnacentral:lncRNA from 1 species
CAAUGGCAAUUCCUGGAGGCACCAGGAGUUAUGAGCAGUCAACACUCUUUCUUUGCUCCUGAGAAAAUUGAGUGCCCUCUUUGGUCCUGAAAGCAGCUCUGGGCAGCACUCCACAGCAUCCACUACAGACUUAGUGAGUUCACCCUGGCUCUCCCACUUACAGAUUGCAGCUUUCAGUUGCGACCUUAGGAAUGAGCUCACAAUUGGAAGCAAAUCUGUCUUCUGUUUCUACUGUUAAAGAAUUACCUACCCACUGACAAAAACACAUAGGAUUAACAAUGGCUUUGUCCCAGAUAGAUGCUUUUUGGAAUUGUACAAACUGUAUUUAUGAUGCUUGUACAUUUUGGUCCAACUUUUAAAUAUUUCAAUAAGACUGAUUGAAUUCUUAGUAAAUAGAAUACUUCCUCUGUUCAGUUUUGCUCUGUUGAAUGCUGGAAGUUUGGUGAGUCUGACCCACUACACGUAUCUCAGAUGAUUUAAAAACAAAGGCAGGCCAUUUGGUUUUGAUGCUGUGUCUGUUUUGGGCAGUGUCUCAGAUUGAAAUCCUGUGAAUAAAAAGUGGUUCUGAAAAGUUAUUCUUAGCCACUUAGGUAUAGGCUCUUAGUCUUGAGAAAUGGGUAAGGCUUCUGAAUGUCUGAUUUAGUCAUACAAAUCAUCAUUUGGCAUAUCUCUUUUGUGGAUUUUUAUUGGUAUUGAUUCAAAAACAUUUUCAAAA